rnacentral:misc_RNA from 1 species
UGUGUUGCUUACCCGCGGAAAGGAAUUCGAUGGUUUUGGUGUCCCYAUCCGCCUUGUGCCCUUCGGGGUGCGGGGUGGACGCGAGGCGGGCUCCGUGUUCCCCGCGCGUUGAGUGUGUUGACACUUGACCGCUGUGGCCCAUGGGGUCUCGACCCGUGCUCUCGGAUGCGGAAUGUUGUGUGUGGGCGUGGGGUCUCGGCCUCUACUCGUCCAAGCUACACGCAUUGUCCCUUAACAUGAACGACCGUCGCGCCCGUCUUGAUCGACUGACCGAGCCCCUAUUGUGGGUUUUYGGGAUGGCGGCUCAUGCGGGUGUCGGCGUCGGAGAGGAAUGC